GCCCGACUAGCUCACCGGUAGAGCGCCUCACUAGUAUAUCGUCUUUGUAGCAAGAAGAAUCCCUCUUUAGUAGUGGGGAAAUGAUUGCAAUGAGGAGGCAACAGGUUCGACUCCUGUGUUGGGCA